rnacentral:rRNA from 1 species
ACGGGAGGCAGCAGUGGGGAAUAUUGGGCAAUGGGCGAAAGCCUGACCCAGCAACGCCGCGUGAAGGAAGAAGGUCUUCGGAUUGUAAACUUCUUUUAUGAGGGACGAAGGACGUGACGGUACCUCAUGAAUAAGCCACGGCUAACUACGUGCCAGCAGCCGCGGUAAUACGUAGGUGGCAAGCGUUAUCCGGAUUUACUGGGUGUAAAGGGCGCGUAGGCGGGGAUGCAAGUCAGAUGUGAAAUCCAUGGGCUUAACUCAUGAACUGCAUCUGAAACUGUAUCUCUUGAGUGCUGGAGAGGUAGAUGGAAUUCCUUGUGUAGCGGUGAAACGCGUAGAUAUAAGGAAGAACACCAGUGGCGAAGGCGAUCUACUGGACAGUAACUGACGCUGAGGCGCUAAAGCGUGGGGAGCAAACAGGAUUAGAUACCCUGGUA